rnacentral:ncRNA from 1 species
CGGUGACGGUUCCCUUCGGGGAUCAAAAGGGAACGCGGUGAGGACUUUCGGGUCCGAUGCCGCGGCUGCCCCCGCAACUGUAAGCGGCGAGCCUUUUCACCACCGAUGUCACUGGAUGAGCCUCAUCCGGGAAGACGGUGAGACGGCGACGACCCGCGAGCCAGGAGACCUGCCGUCAGUCGU